rnacentral:lncRNA from 1 species
UUAAAUUACUUAUUUUCUGGACUUCCUCAUACCUCCCUCUUUUGUAUUCCAAUCCACAUUAUUUGUCCAGCAGUUUCUUUUCCACUUUUUUAAUCCCAAUCUUUAAUUUAAUAAAAUGUUAAAAUAUAUAACUUCAACUAUUUAAACCUAAUCCUUGCUCUUAAUGUCAUAUAGCUUUAAAUUUUUCCCUUUUAUUAUCAAAUUUCCAUUUCUUUAAACAUCUUUAAUCUUAAUCUUUAAUCUUAAUCUAUCCUUAACUUUAACCUGUACAGCUGGAAACCACUUAUUUUCAAUCCAACAUCACUCUAACAUUCCUUAAUUUUGCAGUGUUUCUGAAGAUAGUCUUUGAAUUUCUUCCAGUCUUCCUCCAUCGACUCUUCUCCCUGGUCACGGAUUCUGCCAGUCAUUUCCGCCAAUUCCAUAUAGUCCAUAAGUUUCAUCUGCCAUUCCUCCAGCGUGGGAAGUUCUUGUGUCUUCCAAUACUUUGCGAUGAGUAUUCUUGCUGCUGUUGUUGCAUACAUAAAGAAAGUUCUAUCCUUUUUUAACACCAUUUGGCCCACUAUGCCCAGGAGAAAGGCCUCUGGUUUCUUAGGAAAGGUAUACUUAAAUACCUUUUUAAAUUCAUUAUAUAUCUUUUCCCAGAAAGCCUUAAUCUUUGGGCACGUCCACCAAAGGUGAAAAAAUGUACCUUCAGUUUCUUUACAUUUCCAACAUUUGUUAUCGGGCAAGUGAUAGAUUUUCGCAAGCUUGACUGGGGUUAUGUACCACCUGUAUAUCAUUUUCAUAAUAUUCUCUCUUAAGGCAUUACAUGCCGUAAAUUUCAUACCUGUGGUCCAUAACUGUUCCCAGUCAGCAAACAUAAUGUUAUGUCCAACGUCCUGUGCCCAUUUAAUCAUAGCCGAUUUUACCGUUUCAUCCUGAGUAUUCCACUUCAGCAGCAAGUUAUACAUUCUUGACAAAUUCUUAGUUUUGGGUUCUAACAAUUCUGUUUCUAAUUUGGAUCUUUCCACCUGGAAGCCAAUUUUCCUGUCCAAUUUAAAUGCCUCCAUUAUCUGAUAAUAAUGAAGCCAGUCUCGCACUUUGUUUUUUAGUUUUUCAAAACUCUGCAAUUUCAGUCUAUCUCCGUCUUGUUCCAAAAUUUCCCAAUAUUUCGGCCAUUUGACCUCCAUAUUGACCUUUUCAAGGCUUUCGCUUCCAUUGGUGACAGCCACCUUGGGGUUUUGUUUUCUAACAAAUCCUUAUAUCUUAACCAAACAUUGAAUAGCGCUUUCCUGACAAUGUGGUUUUUAAAUGCUUUAUGUGCUUUGACCUUAUCAUACCAUAGAUAUGCAUGCCAUCCAAAUACAUUAUUGAAACCUUCCAAGUCCAAAAUGUCAGUGUUUUCAAGAAGUAGCCAUUCUUUCAACCAGCAAAAGGCUGCUGAUUCAUAAUAAAGUUUAAGGUCUGGCAGGGCAAAUCCACCUCUUUCCUUUGCAUCUGUUAGUAUUUUAAAUUUUAUUCUAGGCUUCUUGCCCUGCCAGACAAAUUUAGAGAUAUCUUUCUGCCACCUCUUGAAACAAUCCAUUUUGUCCACAAUCUGCAAAGUUUGAAACAAGAACAACAUUCUAGGCAAUACAUUCAUCUUUAUCGCUGCAAUACGGCCUAGCAGUGAAAGCUUCAAAUUUGACCAAAUUUCUAAAUCUUUUUUCACUUCUGACCAACAUUUUUCAUAAUUAUCUUUAAAUAGAUUCCCAUUUUUUGCUGUCAUGUUAAUCCCCAGGUAUUUAACUUUCUUGACCACUGUUAAACCUGUCUCAUUCUGAAACCUCUCUCUUUCAAACGGUGUUAAAUUUUUCUCUAAAACCUUGGUUUUUGAUUUGUUCAAUUUGAAUCCUGCCACUUGACCAAAUUCUUGAAUCAGUUCUAAAACCCAUUUGUACUAGAUUCUGGCUCCUGUAACGUCAGUACUAAGUCAUCUGCAAAUGCUCUCAAUUUAUAAUGUUUAAUUCCGACCUGUAUACCUUUAACCAUCUGGUCCCUUCUGAUCAUAUUCAGCAGAACCUCCAGGACCGAAAUAAAAGAAGUGGGGAAAUUGGGCAACCUUGUCGUGUCCCUUUUUCAAUUUUAAGUUCUUCUGUAACAACAUUAUUUACAAUUAGUUUAGCCUUUUGUUCUGAAUAAAUUGCACUUAUACCAUUCUCAAAACCUUGGCCUACCCCCAUACCCUGUAGAUUCUUCUUCAUAAAAUUCCAAGAAAUAUUGUCAAAGGCUUUCUCCGCGUCUACAAAUAUCAAUACUGCUUUAGUGUUAAUAUUCACUUCUAGUUUUUCCAGAAUAUCAAUUAUAUUCCUCAAAUUAUCAGACAAAUGUCUUCCUGGGAGAAAGCCCGCUUGGUCUUUAUGAAUCUCUUCCAACAGCACCUUCUUAAAUCUCUUCGCCAAAAUAUCUGCAAAAAUUUUAUAAUCCACAUUAAGUAAUGAUAUAGGGCGGUAGUUCUUAAGUUGUGUCUUUUCAGUCUCUGUUUUUGGUACAAGUGUAAUAUACGCUUCUUUCCACGACUCUGGUGCCCUCUUCCCCUCCAUAAUUUCGUUGCAGACCUCUUUCAAUGGUUGAAUUAACCAUUCUUUUAAAGAUCUAUAGUAUGUAGAGGUCAAGCCGUCUGGUCCUGGAGAUUUACCCAGUUGCAUAUUUUGAAUGGCACCUUCUAUUUCCUGUUCAGUUAUUCUGUCGUUCAAAAUUAGUCUCUUUUCUUGAGAUAUUUUUGUAAUCCAUUUGUUUUCAAAAAUUGGUCUAAAUCUGUUUCUUUCACUGGCCCUUGAGUAUAUAGUCUUUUAAAAUACUUCUGGAAACAACUUCUAAUCUCUGCAGGGUUCUGUAUAUUCCUUCCUUCCACUUCUAGAUUCGUAAUCGUAUUUAAUUUUUGUCUCUUUUUCAUUUGCCAUGCCAACAAUUUACCACAUUUAUUAGCCGAUUCAAAAGUCUUUUGUCUCAUUUGUUUAAUCUUCCACUCUAUUUCCUGAUUCAUUAUUUUCAUAUAUUGUACUUGAUGUAACUUUAACUCUCUCAAAAUCUCUUGAGAUUUAGGAUUUACUCGCAGUCUUUUUCACAUUCAUUCAUUUUAUUCAUAAUUUUAUCCUUCUUUUCAUUUUGAGUUUUUUUCUUUAUCGCAUUCUGUUGUAUUAGGAACCCUCUCAUAACAGCUUUACUUGCGUCCCAGAUUACUCUUUUCUCCACGUUGGAACUGAGAUUUAUCUCAAAAUAGUCUCUUAAAGUUUUUUGGGCCUUCUUAAGAAAUUCUCCAUCUCUAAAUAAGGUGUCAUUCAUCUUCCAUCUGAAGGAGCCAGUUGGUGUUAGUCUCAUUUCCAUCUUAACAGCAUUAUGGUCGGAGCAAAUUUUCGGGCAGAUUUCCACCUUUCUUGUCUUUGGUGCCAUUCCUCUAGUUAUCCAAAUUUGGUCAAUUCUUGUCCAAGUCAUUUUGGCUUCAGAAAAGAAGGUUCCCUCUUUUGCCAAGGGGUUUCUAAUUCUCCAAAUAUCCACUAAGUCCAAGUUGUCUGUCAUGUC